GAGAAAGCUCGUAAGAGCUGCUAACUCAUACCCCCGUGCUUAACAACAUGGCUUUCUCA
ensembl:Mt_tRNA